CGGAUAGAUUAUUGUAUUCAACUGUAUUUACGGCGUGAAAUAUGGGAUUACACUGUUUUUAAAACGGAAAGUGAAUCAAUUAACAUAACAGACUCCU
rnacentral:pre_miRNA from 1 species